rnacentral:rRNA from 1 species
UACGUAGGGUGCGAGCGUUAAUCGGAAUUACUGGGCGUAAAGCGUGCGUAGGCGGUUCGUUAAGUUUGCGGUGAAAGCCCCGGGCUCAACCUGGGAAUGGCCGUGGAAACUGGCGGGCUGGAGUGUGGCAGAGGGGGGUGGAAUUCCGCGUGUAGCAGUGAAAUGCGUAGAGAUGUGGAGGAACACCAGUGGCGAAGGCGACUCUUUGGCCUGUAACUGACGCUGAGGCGCGAAAGCGUGGGGAGCAAACAGG